UACGGAGGGUGCGAGCGUUGUCCGGAAUCACUGGGCGUAAAGGGCGCGUAGGCGGCGCGGGCAGUCAACGGUGAAAGCUUGGGGCUCAACCCCGAGUCGGCCGUCGAUACUCCCGGGCUGGAGCACUGUAGAGGCAGGUGGAAUUCCGGGUGUAGCGGUGGAAUGCGUAGAGAUCCGGAAGAACACCGGUGGCGAAGGCGGCCUGCUGGGCAGUAGCUGACGCUGAGACGCGAAAGCGUGGGGAGCGAACAGG
rnacentral:rRNA from 1 species